rnacentral:rRNA from 1 species
GAGGAAUCUUGGUCAUUCGCCGCAAUCCUGACCCAGCAAUGCCGCGCGCAGGAUGAAGGCCUUCGGGCUGUAAGGCCCUUUUGUUGGGAAAGAAAAGCAGCCGGCCACUCCCCGGUUGUUCUGACGGUACCCUAAGAACAAGCACAGGCUAACUUAGUGCCAGCAGCCGCGGUAAUACGAAGGGUGCAAGCGUUACUCGGAAUUACUGGGCGUAAAGCGUGCGAAGGUGGUGGUUUAAGUCCGUUGUGAAAGCCCUGGGCUCAACCUGGGAACUGCAGUGGAUACUGGAUCACUGGAGUGUGGCAGGGGGUAGUGGAAUUCCCGGUGUAGCAGUGAAAUGCGUAGAGAUCGGGAGGAACAUCAGUGGCAAAGGCGACUGCCUGGGCCAACACUGACACUGAGGCACGAAAGCGUGGGGAGCAAACA